rnacentral:tmRNA from 1 species
GGGGAUGUUUUGGCUUCGACGGGGGUAAGAUGGGUUUGAUAAGCGAGUAGAGUGAAGCAUGGAAACUCUUAAAUCGACUAUGCAUUAAAUAUAAACGCAGAAGAUAAUUUUGCAUUAGCAGCUUAAUUUAGCGCUGCUCAUCUGACCUAGGCUGCCCACGGUUUAGGACCCAGGUGUCAUUUAAAGUGGGGAACCGAGCUUAGCAAAGCUUUGAGUUAAGAACGGAAGAUAUGAAGCUACCGAGAAAGAAGUUUGUCACUGGACGUCUUUUUAGGGAAUUUUAAAUCAGAUGACUACACUCGUAGAAAGUCUUACUGGUCUGCUUUCGGACACGGGUUCGACACCCGUCAUCUCCACCA